CCGCGACUGUUUACUAAAAACAUAGCACUCUGCAAACUCGUAAGAGGACGUAUAGGGUGUGACGCCUGCCCGGUGCCGGAAGGUUAAUUGAUGGGGUUAGCGCUUGCGCGAAGCUCUUGAUCGAAGCCCCGGUAAACGGCGGCCGUAACUAUAACGGUCCUAAGGUAGCGAAAUUCCUUGUCGGGUAAGUUCCGACCUGCACGAAUGGCGUAACGACGGCCACACUGUCUCCACCAGGGACUCAGCGAAAUUGAACUCGCUGUUAAGAUGCAGUGUACCCGCGGCUAGACGGAAAGACCCCGUGAACCUUUACUAUAGCUUUGCACUGGACUUUGAAUAUGUUUGUGUAGGAUAGGUGGGAGGCUUUGAAACGAUGACGUCAGUUGUCGUGGAGCCAACCUUGAAAUACCACCCUGGCAUGUUUGAGGUUCUAACCUAGGCCCGUUAUCCGGGUCGGGGACAGUGCAUGGUGGGUAGUUUGACUGGGGCGGUCUCCUCCUAAAGAGUAACGGAGGAGCACAAAGGUACCCUCAGCGCGGUCGGAAAUCGCGCAAUGAGUGCAAAGGCAUAAGGGUGCUUGACUGCGAGACACACACGUCGAGCAGGAACGAAAGUUGGUCUUAGUGAUCCGGUGGUUCUGUAUGGAAGGGCCAUCGCUCAACGGAUAAAAGGUACUCCGGGGAUAACAGGCUGAUUCCUCCCAAGAGUUCAUAUCGACGGGGGAGUUUGGCACCUCGAUGUCGGCUCAUCACAUCCUGGGGCUGUAGCCGGUCCCAAGGGUAUGGCUGUUCGCCAUUUAAAGUGGUACGCGAGCUGGGUUUAGAACGUCGUGAGACAGUUCGGUCCCUAUCUGCCGUGGGCGCUGGAGACUUGAAGGGAGCUGCUCCUAGUACGAGAGGACCGGAGUGGACGUACCUCUGGUGUUCCGGUUGUCACGCCAGUGGCAUUGCCGGGUAGCUAUGUACGGAAAGGAUAACCGCUGAAAGCAUCUAAGCGGG
rnacentral:rRNA from 1 species